AGCCGUGUUGGCCCGCGCCGCCGGCCUCAGCGCCUCCGCCGCCGCCGAGUUGUCCCAGCUCGGCGCCCCAGAGCCGGGUCCAGCCAGCCAGCCGCCCAGACCGCCCGCAGCCCAACCCCCGCCCACGGAUGAGGGCCGCCGCCGCCGCCCAUGGAGGGGGGUUCAUACCAGAAGAUGAUGACGACUUUCGGACGACCAGCAGUCGCUUCCGGACGCCCUUCGAGGCCAAGGCGGACACGACCGUGGACAUGGGCGUGAGCAUGCUGGACGCGACCCAAGGGGACGAGAGUUUCAUGGGCGAGCCCCCGCGGGCGCCGCAGACGAGACAGCCUCCGAGGAUGAAGUGAGUG